UAGUCCACGCCGUAAACGAUGAGAACUAGUUCUUGGAGGUAUUGACCCCUUCAGGGACGUAGCUAACGCGUUAAGUUCUCCGCCUGGGGAGUACGGUCGCAAGACUAAAACUCAAAGGAAUUGACGGGGGCCCGCACAAGCGGUGGAUUAUGUGGUCUAAUUCGAAGCAACGCGCAGAACCUUACCAACCCUUGACAUUUGUCGCCAACACCAGAGAUGGUGCGUUCUCUUCGGAGACGGCAGGACAGGUGCUGCAUGGCUGUCGUCAGCUCGUGUCGUGAGAUGUUCGGUUAAGUCCGGCAACGAGCGCAACCCACAUCCUUAGUUGCCAGCAUUUAGUUGGGCACUCUAGGGAAACUGCCCGUGAUAAGCGGGAGGAAGGUGUGGAUGACGUCAAGUCCUCAUGGCCCUUACGGGUUGGGCUACACACGUGCUACAAUGGUAGUGACAGUGAGUUAAUCUCCAAAAACUAUCUCAGUUCGGAUUGUCGUCUGCAACUCGACGGCAUG
rnacentral:rRNA from 1 species